GACGAACGCUGGCGGCGUGCCUAAUACAUGCAAGUAGAACGCUAAAGGAGGAGCUUGCUUCUCUGGAUGAGUUGCGAACGGGUGAGUAACGCGUAGGUAACCUGCCUGGUAGCGGGGGAUAACUAUUGGAAACGAUAGCUAAUACCGCAUAAGAGUAGAUGUUGCAUGACAUUUGCUUAAAAGGUGCAAUUGCAUCACUACCAGAUGGACCUGCGUUGUAUUAGCUAGUUGGUGGGGUAACGGCUUACCAAGGCGACGAUACAUAGCCGACCUGAGAGGGUGAUCGGCCACACUGGGACUGAGACACGGCCCAGACUCCUACGGGAGGCAGCAGUAGGGAAUCUUCGGCAAUGGACGGAAGUCUGACCGAGCAACGCCGCGUGAGUGAAGAAGGUUUUCGGAUCGUAAAGCUCUGUUGUAAGAGAAGAACGAGUGUGAGAGUGGAAAGUUCACACUGUGACGGUAUCUUACCAGAAAGGGACGGCUAACUACGUG
rnacentral:rRNA from 1 species